AGAUUUCUCUCUUUGGUCAUAUCUAACCGAACGUUUGUGCCUACAUUAAAUUGUGUGAUUGCUUGACCAUGGCCGAAAGGUUUUCAAUCAAUAUGAUCACACAUACAAUGCAAGAUUGAAUAUGUAAGGUUCAAAGUGGUUGACAAAUGUCGAUCAAGGGACAACAGAGAUGGAAAUAAAAAGUAUCAACUCUUGAUACUUCAAGAUGAAGAGGAAAAUCAGGUUCAGGCAAUUAUGUUCGGUACUGAUAUAGCAUAUUUUGAAGAUGUGCUGGCACCUUUCAACACAUAUUUGUUGUCUGUUGUGCAAGUAACGGAACUGGCUUCUGAAUAUAAGAGUGCACUUAAUGAUUACAUUUGGACAAUUGAUAGAAGCACCAUAGUUGAGCCCAUUGAAAAGGUUACUCCGCCGGAAAAUCCGUUAACGCAGCCAACACGGUUAACUCUUACCACAUUUGACACCUUUGAGUAUCAACCCAAAGAAAUGAGUUUGGUAUUUAAAAGUGUAUUUA